GAUGAAGAACGUAGCGAAAUGCGAUAAGUAAUGUGAAUUGCAGAAUUCAGUGGAUCAUCGAAUCUUUGAACGCACAUUGCGCCCCUUGGUAUUCCGAGGGGCAUGCCUGUUCGAGCGUCAUUUCAACCCUCAAGCUCUGCUUGGUCUUGGGCCUGGCCGUGAUGGCCGGUCUUAAAAUCAGUGGCGGUGCCGUCGCAGGCUCCAAGCGUAGUACAUCUCUCGCUCUGGAAACUUGGCGGUGCCUGCCAGACAACCCCUAAUUGUCUCUUUCGGUUGACCUCGGAUCAGGUAGGGAUACCCGCUGAACUUAAGCAUAUCAAUAAGCGGAGGA
rnacentral:misc_RNA from 1 species